CGCAGAUCCUUACAUGUUGCAGCAACUGCCUCAAGGCCUUCGUCACAUACAGAAUCAAAUACCCACAAUACUUGGAGCUUAUGGCAGCGGCUGAUGACAGACUUGAAUUGUUCAGUAUUAAUGUUGGCACCAUAGCUUAAAUUAAGAGAGGUCAGAUUGCCACAAACUGGAUAGAUUGCAGGCAGAUAUUCAGGAGCAAUUUCCCUGAAACCAGAGAGACAGACCAUGGAUUUGCAGGCAGCAAAUGCUG
rnacentral:misc_RNA from 1 species